GUCCGAUUUUGUUAUAUGGACAUAUAUAAAAGUGUGUAACUGAGGGAAGAGAUCUAGUCGCGUUUUCUUCUCCUUCUUCGUGUUUCUGGUUUUUUUUGCUGUGUUUCAUGAAACCAAGAUAUUUAUUAGUGAAGUUCAUGUUUUUUAAGUGACUGAUUUUUUUAAGUUCAUAUUUUUUUAAGUGACUGAUAGUUAUUAGUGAAGUUCAUAUUUUUUUUAAGUUCAUGUUAUUUUUAUGAAGCUCAAGCCGAUCUACAUCUUUAAUUUUCUUUUUCUUUGGCAUUUUUACUGAACUUCCACCAUGCAAAGCUUGGAAUAUUGGAGAAAUGAAGAAGAAGAAUGGUGAAAGUGAAACUUCAGAAUGAAUGAGUGAAAGUGUGUAACUCAGAUGGUGAGUGUGGGGCUAUGUUGGAUGC
rnacentral:lncRNA from 1 species